rfam:Myotis brandtii contig271859, whole genome shotgun sequence.
GGCAGUUCUCAGGUGAUGUGCCCCAGAAUUGGGCUCCCUCCUCUCUGGUUCCGGGUGCAUCACCUUAGAACCGCA